CCUGUUAUGAUGUUAUGAUUGUGGCUAUGGACUUUAAUUUGUUUUAACAAGCUAGAUAAAAGAGCUGAGUGGUUGUGGGUCCUCUCAGCAGUGUCCUGUGGACUGGAGGAAGAUCAACUCCAGAUUUUACUUCCUCUCCACUGAGAAUAAAACAUGGGAGGACAGCAGAAGAUACUGUCAGAGUAAAGAUGCUGACCUGGUGGUGAUCGCAGUGAACAGAAACCGAGGGCGUUGUACUGUCUGGAUGGGAAUGCUGAACUCUUGUUCUGGAUUGGUCUGUAUGACACAGCUGGGAGCUUCAAAUGGGUGGAUGGAUCUGUGCUGACCAAACAUUUUGGCAGUCGGACCAGCCGGAUCGUGGUGGUCCUAACAACAUGUAUCACCGCCACACAGUGCUGGGCAGCUGGAAUGAUGCCCCCUGUGGAGCCAAGCGGCUUUGGCUCUGUGAGAAAGAUCCAUUUAUCAUUUCAUAGUAUCAGCUCCAGAACAUUAUAUUAUGUACAUGUGCUUUUGCAAGAGGUUUACAUGUAAAACAGUUGUGAAUAAAAACAGAUUCUAUGAUAAUACA